GAUGAACGCUAGCGGGAGGCUUAACAAAUGCAAGUCGAGGGGCAGCAGAGAGUAGCAAUACUUUGAUGGCGACCGGCGCACGGGUGAGUAACGCGUCUGUAACCUACCCUGUACAGGGGGAUAGCCCGGAGAAAUUCGGAUUAAUACCCCAUAAUGAUCUCGAGAGGCAUCUUGUGAUAUUUAAGGCUUCGGCGGUAGGGGAUGGGCAUGCGUGACAUUAGCUAGUUGGUAAGGUAACGGCUUACCAAGGCUGCGAUGUCUAGGGGUCCUGAGAGGGUGAUCCCCCACACUGGUACUGAGACACGGACCAGACUCCGACGGGAGGCAGCAGUGAGGAAUAUUGGUCAAUGGGCGUAAGCCUGAACCAGCCAUCCCGCGUGAAGGAAGAAGGCGCUAUGCGUCGUAAACUUCUUUUCCAGAGGAAUAAAAUUUUGUACGCGUACAGAACUGAAGGUACUCUGGGAACAAGCAUCGGCUAACUCCGUGCCAGCCGCCGCGGUAAAAC
rnacentral:rRNA from 1 species